rnacentral:rRNA from 1 species
GACGAACGCUGGCGGCGUGCUUAACAUAUGCAAGUCGAACGGAAAGGCCCUGCUUUUGUGGGGUGCUCGAGUGGCGAACGGGUGAGUAACACGUGAGUAACCUGCCCUUGACUUUGGGAUAACUUCAGGAAACUGGGGCUAAUACCGGAUAGGAGCUCCUGCUGCAUGGUGGGGGUUGGAAAGUUUCGGCGGUUGGGGAUGGACUCGCGGCUUAUCAGCUUGUUGGUGGGGUAGUGGCUUACCAAGGCUUUGACGGGUAGCCGGCCUGAGAGGGUGACCGGCCACAUUGGGACUGAGAUACGGCCCAGACUCCUACGGGAGGCAGCGGUGGGGAAUAUUGCACAAUGGGCGGAAGCCUGAUGCAGCAACGCCGCGUGCGGGAUGACGGCCUUCGGGUUGUAAACCGCUUUCGCCUGUGACGAAGCGUGAGUGACGGUAAUGGGUAAAGAAGCACCGGCUAACUACGUG